AUGGCGCCCUCGCGCCGCCGCGCGCGGUCGAGCGAGCCGGCGGCGGACCUGCUGACCUCCCUGCCGCCGCUCCUGCUCGACAGCAUCCUCACCCGCCUCGACCUCCGCGACGCCGUCCGCACCUCCGCGCUCUCUCGCGCCUGGCGCCGCCGUUGGGUGGACCUCCCCUGCCUCUCCCUCUCCCGCAUCGGCAGGGGUGGCAUACCCGCGGUGGCCGUCGACAGCGUUCUCCUUCGCUACCCCGGCAACAUCUCGAAUUUCUCCAUCCACUCUCUCGACACGCACUCCGCCCGCCGCGUCGACGACUGGCUCAUCGCCGUCCGCAACCGCGGCGUCAAGUCCAUCGACCUCAAGGGCCCAGCCCCAGCCUUCGCCCUUCACUCUUCUGUCUUCUUAUGCACGAGUCUCGUGUGCCUGAAGCUGCACUUGUGCUUGAUACCUCCUCUCCCCGUGGAAUUCACUGGCUUCCCCGUGCUCAAGCAGCUCGAACUCUCGGGCGUCACAUUCCCUCCGAACGGGCAGAUCCAACUGGAGGCAAUUAUCAAAGCGUCACCCUUGCUUGACACCCUGAGUCUUAUCUAUGUGGAUACAUACAGCGAGGCUUUCCCUGGUUGGGUGAUUUGGGGGGCCAAUCUCCGGAGGCUAACUAUAGUUUCCAAAGACAAUCAUGGCUGGCAAGUCGCCGAGCUACCAAAUCUCCACGAAGCCACCAUCAAUUUGCAAAGCUGUGAGAACUUUAGUGAUUUCGGAGGACUCCUUGCUGGGCUUGCUCAAGUUCGGAAGCUCGUUCUAAAUAAGUGCUACCCACCGUUCACAGAGGGUCAUAUCCUGGAAACACUUCCUUGCACCUUUGACAACUUAAAGAGUUUAACCCUCUGGACUCACUUUGAGGAAACGCCUACCAUUUUGUCAACCUUUUGUUUACUGAGGAAUGCUCCUAACCUUGAAGAACUUGAUAUAGUGAUCGAGGGUUUUUUGGACGAGGAAGAAGCAGAUGGGGAGUUUCAGAAUGCACAAUGGACUGACGGCAUGUGUCCCAACCUUCAAGUUGUGCGAUUGAAGGGUGUUCUCUGUUCAUCAAAUGAAAUGUGUUUUAUACAGCUUCUUUUAUCUAAAGCUACAGUUCUUCGCACUAUGUCUAUUAAUCUUGGUUAUGGAAGCUUAAAGUCUAGUGAGGAUGCACUGCGCGAACUGAUAACAUAUAGAAGAGCUUCACCCCAUGCUCAAAUCUUCUUCGAUGGCAAAUAG
rnacentral:rRNA from 1 species